rnacentral:ncRNA from 1 species
UAAGAUUUGUUGAACAAGAGAGUACUUGUAUCAUUCUUGGCUAGCGAAUUCGGAAGUGGUGGAAGCCGAAUGAAGAAGAUACAACGAAGCGCACUUGGAGAAUUCUGUUUUAAACAGACGGUCGUCUACCGAUAUCAGAUGGAGCUGGUCCUUUUUUAGGACAAUUGGAGUGGUACCGCGGGAAAUCUCGUCUCUAGU